CCUGAGAAAUACUUUAACUGGAUAAUCUUGUGACAUGAAAAAAUGAUCAGCCUCAGAUUUCCAAUCCAUCACAGGUCACUGUGAUAACCUAAGUUAUGUCUGGAUGGUCAACAGACUGAUUCCUGUUGGCAUAUGUUUUACUGAGAAACAGCAGGGAGAAUAGUAGCAUCUUUAAAGCUAUGCUGAAAUUUUCAUGCCACUUUAACACUUUAUUUUGGAAAUAGUUAAAUCUUAAAGGAUUUGCAUAGUAUUUCUUCACAUGUGAUUCUCAGACCAGCUAUAUCAUCAUCAACAAUAAAUCCUGGGCACAUCCCAGUUCUAUCCAACUAGAAUAUCUGGGGAUGGAGCACUAAGAUCUGUAUUUUUAAGUAUCCCAGAUGGUUUUUGUUUUUUAAUUAUGGCCAGCCAAGUCCAUUUGGUACAUUACAUUUGAGAAAACUUGACUUCUGGUGGCCAGUUCUGCCAAUUGCUGAUUAUGUCGCCUUGCAAAAUUUACUUUGGAUCUCGGUUUUACUUGAGCAAUGAAGGAGCUUAACUGGAUAAAUCAAGUUUUCUUACAGUCUUGGAAUACAAUUCAAAUGCUGACAUAUGUCUUUAAACAGAUGUCCCUGAUCCACUAACAGUGGGUAAUAAUACCAGCCCAAAUAUCCUACCUGGGUGGAAAGAGCAAUUUGGUCUGAUGUAUCUGAGAUCUCAUUGUUUGAAGUUGGGUUUUCACCCCUGUGUUUAUUUCCUCAUGCCUCUGUAGAACCCACCGACAAAUGUUUAUUCUAGAAGUGGUAAUGUUGUUUUUCUGGUUUCUUUAGACCCCAAACACUCUGCAAAGGGACUAUUUUGAUAAAUAUCUCUGUACAAUAAACAUAUAUCAGAGAACCUCUUGAUUUUGGAACUAAAAUAUUUUAUAGUAUUUUAGACUAGAUAUCUUAUUUUGUAGUGAUUUUUAGUCUUACUGAAAAUAAUUUAAUGUGUUUUAAGAUAAAGCUUAGGUUUAGUUUGCAAUUUUGCAGAAAGAAUUACAUACUGAAUAGAAGAUAGUCUUUGAUUUUUUUAGUAAUGUGUUACCUAGUACUUAGCUCUUUUUAUCUGGAUAUAUAAACCCAACCAACAGCAAAGGAUUCAAUAUAUUUUCAUGUGUCAGUAUUAUCAUCUGUUUAAUAUUUAGUAAAUGAGCUCUUUUUAAAGAAACAAUAGUAAUGCUUUACUGAUAGUUAUCCUAUUGUGUCCAAAAAGGAGAAAUACAUGUAAGAACAUUCAAAUUUUUAGUACUAGUGUUCAAUAAGUUUCUAAAAGGAUGAAUUUAAAUUUCAAUUCUAGGUUCCUAAGUUAUAUGACUUAACUGUGUAUCAAAAAAUCUACACUAAAAUGUCAACUUCAUAAUAUCAU
rnacentral:lncRNA from 1 species